GUUAUAUUUCAUGGGGUUUAGGCAUAACUAGUGCCACAUUCAGGCCCAAGUGACACUGAAUUGGGAAGAGAAAUGUUUCCUCCACUUCUUCCUGGAACUCAGCACAGCUUAGUCACAGUGAGGGCUCAGGGGCUGGCUCCUGUCCAGCGUCAGUUGAGAGGACAGUAGAUCCAGGAAGCAGGACUCUAGACCAGGGCAUCUACAGCUGCAGAGGCCAGGGUGCUCUGAGACAAGGAUGAGAUGAAUCCUCACAGGCUUAGGGAAAGCAGACACUGAGGAGGAGGCCAGACACAGACAUCAUGAGAGGACUGUGCAGCAGCUCACUGGAGCAUCUCAGGCACCCAAGGAACUCGUGGAAACAACUGUGCAAGGCCCAGGUGGAGGAAUAGAGAACCUGCAGUUAUUCUGGAAGAGGGCAGGUGGCUUAAAAUGAAUUGUCAGCUGCUGGGAGCCAUGUGGGUCCUAUGGAAGCUUCUCCAACAGCCUCAGGGCAGCAGCAGCAGCACCCAGAGUAGCUCUUGUUCCUCUACGAAACCUCCUCAAAAAGGUACCAUGGCCAUGAAUAAAGCAUUCAAGACAGUCACCUUCCAGGAGGGUCCCACGAGGAGAAAUGAGGGGAAGAACACAAGAAAGGCUUUGUCUGACUACAGGGAACAAUUCAUUGGCAGAAAUUGCCCUGAGAUUGACUCCCCAUUGCCUUGGGUCCCAAGGUCCUGGGAGAGAAAAGAAUUGGAUUCUGAAAAAACUGUGAUCAGCACAAAGGCAUGUUGAUACCCUGGCACCAUGAAAGCAUUGAAAGGGAGAAAAAUGACUGGAUUGGCAAAAGUCUUGACAAGAGAGGCCAACAGAAACCAAAAGCCUUCACGACUGUAACUCAAUUUGUUUUCUGAGCUCAGAAGAGAAUGACACUGUGCUAGAUGGAUUUCAGUUGUCCUUCCAGAUCUGCUCUCCACUUCUCCACACUGGCCAGCACCCUUCAUGUGCUGCUCACAAAGCCGAGAGCCACAGAGGAGCACACGGGGUGAGCUGUGAUGAAUGAUUUUCAUUUACCUUUCCAGAUCCUCUGUCCACCCUGCUGUGCCGAUAGGCAUUUACGGACCAUAGCGACAAGCUCCUUUGUCCCCUGGCUUCUGGUUAGAGAGCCAAUGAGAUGCACGGGCAAAGACUGCAUGGAGAGGGAAAAGUGAGGUUGGGGCAUUGCCUGCCCUCCCUGCAGGGCUGUGAGUCUCAGAGUCCAUGUUCCACGAUCUAAGGCCAAGCGCCCGUCAAGCAGGCAGCUCUCUUUCAUAGCUUCCAGGUCCAAUGACCUUCCCUCUAAGGGUGGUAAUAGCACUCCAUGCUUAACAAUCACUAUUCCUUUUAACCCAGUACAUCUUUGCAAAUUAGCCCUUUUUGAAACUCUUCAGUUUCCCUCAUUUGACUGCAUCACUUUUUUCUCAUGGAAACCCUCACUUGGGGAUUAUUGUUUAGGGAGAGUUUCCCCAGUAUUUUUACAGAGCUAACAGGAAGUUAAUUUGCCUGCCCUUUGUACAGCUCAGUUAGAUCAGCUUUUGUCUGGAAAGGAGCCUUGCAGGGCUUGGCUUUGUAUCCUGUUGGGAUGAUCAUCUCUCCAGUGUGAUGACUAAGGGUUGUGUCCAGUUAGUGCACUAGCAACUGAAGUUAGGAAGGCUCGGGUGGACGCUGCCAACCAGCAAUCCAAUCUGCCUGAUGGCCAACCCUUUGACUGCUGGGAGCCUGGAGCUUUCUGAAUCAGACAACUUCCAGACUUCACAUGUGCUGCCAAGCACAAGAUAUAUUCUGGAAAAGAAGAGGAGGAGGAAGAAGAAUGACUGUAAAGGAAGGAGCAGUACUGUUUUCAUGAGGACCUACUAUGUGCCAGACAUUAUUCUAGGUGCUGGGGCUACCAUGGGAAACUUGCAGCUACUUGGGAGGCUAAGGUGGGAAGAUCGCUUGAGCCCAGGAGGUCGAGGCUGCGGUGAACCAAGAUUGUGACACUGCACUCCAGCCUGGGCAACAGAUGCUGUGUGAAGAUGAAGGCAGAGAUCAGGCUGAUGCUUAUGGAAAGCCAGAGAUUGCCAACAAACCACCAAAAGCUAGGAGAGAGGCCUGGAACAGAUUCUCUCUGAGUCCUCAGAAGGAACCAACCCUGCCAACACUGUGAUCUUGGACUUCUAAACCCCAGAACUGUGAAAUAAUAAAUGUCUGAUGUCUAAGCCAGCCAGUUUGUGGUAGUUUGUUACAGCAGCCCUAGAAACCUAACAUAUGGUAGACAAAGUGUAGAAGGAGUCGGAUCGUUGCCAGACUGAAAGC
rnacentral:lncRNA from 10 species